rnacentral:misc_RNA from 1 species
UCUCCGUUGGUGAACCAGCGGAGGGAUCAUUACCGAGUUUACAACUCCCAAACCCAAUGUGAACCAUACCAAACUGUUGCCUCGGCGGGGUCACGCCCCGGGUGCGUCGCAGCCCCGGAACCAGGCGCCCGCCGGAGGGACUAACCAAACUCUUUCUGUAGUCCCCUCGCGGACGUUAUUUUUACAGCUCUGAGCAAAAAUUCAAAAUGAAUCAAAACUUUCAACAACGGAUCUCUUGGUUCUG